rnacentral:rRNA from 1 species
UGGGGAAUCUUAGACAAUGGGGGCAACCCUGAUCUAGCCAUGCCGCGUGAGUGACGAAGGCCCUAGGGUCGUAAAGCUCUUUCGCCAGGGAAGAUAAUGACGGUACCUGGUAAAGAAACCCCGGCUAACUCCGUGCCAGCAGCCGCGGUAAUACGGAGGGGGUUAGCGUUGUUCGGAAUUACUGGGCGUAAAGCGCGCGUAGGCGGACUGUUAAGUCAGGGGUGAAAUCCUGGGGCUCAACCCCAGAACUGCCCUUGAUACUGGCAGUCUUGAGUUCGAGAGAGGUGAGUGGAACUCCGAGUGUAGAGGUGAAAUUCGUAGAUAUUCGGAAGAACACCAGUGGCGAAGGCGGCUCACUGGCUCGAUACUGACGCUGAGGUGCGAAAGUGUGGGGAGCAAACAGGAUUAGAUACCCCCGUAGUCC